rnacentral:rRNA from 1 species
GCAGCACGGGUGCUUGCACCUGGUGGCGAGUGGCGAACGGGUGAGUAAAGCAUCGGAACGUGCCCAACUGUGGGGGAUAACGCACCGAAAGGUGUGCUAAUACCGCAUAAGCCCUGAGGGGGAAAGCAGGGGAUCUUAGGACCUUGCGCGGAUGGAGCGGCCGAUGUCGGAUUAGCUAGUUGGUGAGGUAAAGGCUCACCAAGGCGACGAUCCGUAGCUGGUCUGAGAGGAUGAUCAGCCACACUGGAACUGAGAGACGGUCCAGACUCCUACGGGAGGCAGCAGUGGGGAAUUUUGGACAAUGGGGGCAACCCUGAUCCAGCCAUGCCGCGUGAGUGAAGAAGGCCUUCGGGUUGUAAAGCUCUUUCGGCCGGGAAGAAAUCGUGCAGUCUAAUACACUGUAUGGAUGACGGUACCGGAAUAAGAAGCACCGGCUAACUACGUGCCAGCAGCCGCGGUAAUACGUAGGGUGCGAGCGUUAAUCGGAAUUACUGGGCGUAAAGCGUGCGCAGGCGGUUUUGUAAGACAGGCGUGAAAUCCCCGGGCUCAACCUGGGAAUGGCGCU